GAAUGAACAUCCUCCAAGGCCGGUGAUUCCAUAAUUUUUGCCAGGGGUUGUACACAGGAUUGAUUUUGUUUGUAUGUUCAUUUAUUUAUUGUUUUCAUUCAUUCAUUUCCAGACACACUCAAAAUACUACAUUGGCAGGGGUGGUGGCCAAGUGGUUAAUGCGCUUGGUUUCAGUUCGGAAGGUUCUGGGUUCAAAUCCCACCCCUGCCACAUUUCUCCAUGUAAUGUGGAGUUGCGUCAGGAAGGGCAUCCGGCGUAAAACCUGUGCCAAAUCAACAUGCAGAUCCACCUUGGAUUUGCUGUGGUGCAAACAAGGGAGCAGCCGAAGGGACUUACUAUUAAUAUUCAAUAUUCAACUUGGUAUAUACUAGGGAUGGGACAAUAUAUAAUAUCAUUUAUCACAAUAAAAAUUGUAGCUAUUUUAUUAUUAUCGUGAUAGUCAUUCAAGCAUAAUAAUCCUCAUUUAUUUGCACCUCAAUGCCCUUUAUACUUUAUUGUGGACAGAUAAUUUAUUAUAUUUAGUAUAGUACAUAAAUAUAAAUGGAUUGCUUUAUACACCACUGUAUUUUUUCAAUGUACAUCUGCCAAAUAAAACUUAUCCCAAUAGAACACAAAUCUAUUGUCCAACAUUUGCUUGAAACACUACAUCCAUCAGUGAAGUGAUGGUGCAAAAUGAUCCUUUAUUAGUGUUUAUAUGGUUUUGUUCAUCAUGAAGGAGUUGGUGCUUUGAAAUAGCCACAGCGAGAAAGAGAGACACAGGAAGCAGAGCAGAGACACAGAUGACUUGAUUCAUGUUCUUGCAUUCAUCCUAACCCCUGUUCUCACAAUCACUCACACACUCGCGACGCGUCAUGUAGGACUCAGACAGACAGCGUGUAUCCAAAACAAGCUGGGAGAGAGAGAAUGAGGAAGCAAGGUCAGAGGUCAGGGACGUUGAUAGAGUGGUGACAGCUGUGUGUUUCAUCUGUGUGUGUUCUUCACUCUCUCCCUCCUUUCAUCUGUCCCUGAGUUAAACUUUCCCCUGUCUUUUGUGCUUCUGUUAUUCUUCAUACCAAGACAGAGGUGGUUACUCGCAAAUCUACAUGCCUGUUUUUAAAGUCUGUUUUCUAGUCAUGGCUUCUCUGCAGUGGGCAGUUUUUCAACACACAGUGAUGGAACACUCUCUUAUAGCAGCACUAUGUUACAUUUCUCUCUGUUGCUUCCAACUUCAUAUAAUUUCCUUAGAUGUGAUCCUGAGGUUCCGUUGAUUCUUUUGGACAAAGGUUCAUUAAUUCCUAUGUGUUCACUUGGGCCUCCAUCCUCAAAGAUGUAAAAUCUCAGCUGUCCCAGACAUCUUAUAUUUUUGUAUAACAACUUGCUGUGAAUCUUUCGCGAUGGCUCCUAAAGAGAAACCUUAAUUGCAAAGAUCCAACAUUGUGCUCCCGAACCCUUGGCUUAAUUCAUUAGGUGUUUUUAACAUGCAUUUAAACACAUGAAAACACUGAUUCAUCAGGCAGGCCUUUAAAUAUUGAGACAGGCCCUCAGCUAACUCCAACAUUUAAUUUACAAACUUUUAAAAGCAAUUCUGUCAUUUUCUGUAAUCUUCAGGAAUGUUCCAUUUUAUUUAUUAAAGGUCUUAUAAAUAAUAUUUUCAGCAUUACCAUAGCAGCCAAUUACUGUGCUCUUAUAGAAAUAUGCAUUUAGUGUCUUAAUGACAUCCUGUUCACUCCCUCUGUGUUGUAACAUGAGAUUUUCUGUUACCUGUUUUCAUAUUUGGACUGGUGUCCCGUCGAGAUGAACUACCCCUCAAGAUGAGCUACCUUGUGCAACUGCUACGUCGCACAACUGCACAUGAAUUUUUGAGACGGACUCUCUGUGGUGAUGGAGAGAAGUGGGCUGCCAGAACACUCAGGCACAAGAAGCAGGAGGACGGCAACAGCUGUGGCAUUUUAGUGUUUGCCGAAGCCUACAUCAGCAAAGGAGAUUUGGUGAAGACUGAAACACACCAGCAUGCAAUUGCUCAGACUCAUUUGAAAGUGGCUUGUAUGAAGACAAAGCUAAGACUAAGGGCCCCUUCACACAUCGUAUGAAUAAGUACAACUCAGGGCGAGUCAUGGCGGAACAGCUCGUAUGCGCAAAUCACGCAAACAUCAAGCCAACAGGCAAGCGUGCACGAUGCUGCUGCAAUGGUUUGUGCACAUGACGGUGUCUUUCGAGCAGGAACACAGUGCAAGCAGCUGCACCACAUCACACCGCUGAUGUGUAGAACAAUAAAAUAAA